UUUUGGUGGGGGGACGGCAGCAGGAAAUCUCCUCACCCACCCCGUAUUUUCUCUAAGAAAAAUUCCCCGUAGGCCAUAGAAGCCCUCAGGGAACUAAAAGUGACAGGUUUUGCAGGUUUUCAAUUUUAGUAUUUAGUCUUUAAAUCCAAAUCGGGUGGGAUGCCUGUAAGACUCUGGUUGCCAACACCCGUCUUCAGGGCAGGAAGAACAGUCUCGACUUCCUGCAAUAACAUCUAUAAAACAACAAUGGAGAUGCAUUGAGAAAUAUAAUAGUUAGUUGUAGUCAGCAUACAAGACAUUAACCCUUGGAACAUUGCAUCCAGCUUUAGUGUUUUUAAUCACUGUCAGAAAAAGUGCCUGAGGGUGUCACUGGAGCAGCCAUUUUUUUUUACAACAUCAGCCAGUCAGGAUGUGGAGGAGGCACCAAUCUCUGCUGCAAGCAACCUCCCAUUAACACCAUGAUAACCAGCACGGAUGAGUCAAGAAGGUUGUUGGACAUCCUUCCUUGCUCAACAAUGUGAUGGUUGGUAAGUGUUUGAACUAAUUUGGAUGCCAGUUUUUCUUUAUUUUUCCAUUACAAAGAUAUAUUAUUAUUAUUAUUGUUAUUUAAUUUUUGGUGGAGUCUAUAUAGAAAAACCCAGGCGGCCACAUUCAGGGGACAACUUGUAGGCUACAAGAAGUGAGUGGACCAAGGACUUGUCCAAAAGAAGACUAGUCCUAAUUGAAAGGAGAGAAAUUGGGUUCUCCUGAGGUUACCUGGUAUCUUUUCUUGGUUUGCAUUUCUUGCUUUGGGUUUUUGGGUGGAGAUGGUUGGCCUUGGAAGCUAAAAGGAAAGAAAACUGAGAGCUUGUUAAUGUUAAUUUUAAUUCAGUUUUAUUACUUUUUGUUUCCUGCUAAUUUAUUCAAUAAUUGUCCUAAAGAAUCAUUCUGAUUAGAGGAACUGGAGGGCAAAUACAUUUAGAAUAUUAUGUGCUGUUCUCAAUAUUAAGUUUUCUCUCUGAAAACCUAUAUUCUGCUUUUUCCAAAUAAAAUGUUAAUGUUGUUACUUUAUCUUCUAGCUGCCAAUCAUCACAAUUUGGUGAUGACUGGCAAUUUCCUAAAAAGAAUGAAACUCCAUGAAAAAUCUCCCCAAAAAAGAGAGAGAAAGAAAGCAUUCAUUUUUAUCUGUGUUUGUCCUCAGUUGCCGUUAUAGUUUUUUGUUCUCUGCUUUAUUUUUGAAAUAUAUAUUUUACUUUGGUAUCCCAGUUAGGGCAUCAGGCUAGAAAGCGGGAGACCUGGAAUUCUCAUCCUAUUUCAGGCACAAAGCCCAAAUUCUUUGAUACUUCCUUACUACCCACCAGGAAAAUGAUAGAGGAAAUAAAUCUGUCAAGACAAGCCUUAGAUACCUAUGUGUCUGGCAACAGUGGGCUAAACAAUGAUGAAAAUGAAGUAGUUGGUGGGGCAAAAAUCACUUACAAAAGCUAAACUUUACAGUGUGUUUAAUGGCAUAUUUUAUUAAUCCUUAUGAUUUCAAUUGCUUUUCAACUCUUACACAACUGCCAAAUUCCCAGGCAUCCAAAGAAUCUUAUGGUACAUGUGGUCCAAUCAGGAAAAUGCUAGGCAUAAAUUACAUUUCAUGAAAUUUCCUGCACAGAAAUGUUUUAGAUGAGCAGAUAGACGAGCUCAGAAAAGAGAAUCAAGAUCUGAGUUGCAGGGUUCAAAAACAAGAUGGGGAGCAAGCAGAAGUUCUGAGAGAAAAAAACAAUAUUAAAGAAGAACUUAAAAGAGAAGACAACAGAAAUGUCAAGACUGUUAUAAAAAGACAAGCUCCAAGUGAAGUACAAGGAAUUUAUGCAGAAAAAUGCCCACCUAAUUGCAGAAAAGGAAGACCCCUGGAAAGAUUUUAAAGAAGAACUAAGCAGGCUGCUGCAUGCGAUACAUGAAACUGGUUGUGGUGACUUCCAAACAAAUCGAAGAAGUUUUCAAAGUUCCCUCACUAGAAGCGGUGAUUUUUUUCUCCAGAAGCUCUGUCGCUGAUCAGGGUUAGUUCUCCCGGUCGAUCCUGGAAAUCACUUGUUUUCUGGAUUUCUUUUCAAGUCUCCGGGAUCUGCAAGCUGAUUGCGAAGCCUUGGUGGUUCAGGCUGCAGGUGACUCAAUGGAAGAAAUCUUUUGGCAGUGUGGCCAUCAGAUCAAGCCGGGUCUUAUUAGGAGUCAACUCCUCUCCAAAGUCAUCAGGAGGAUCUCCGAGACCAAGCAAUAGUAGUUUAAUUGUUUACUUGAUUGUCAUGGCACCUCAUAGAAUGAAAUUAAGUGCCAUCUUCACUGUAUAUUAUACUUUAAAAAAAACCUUUAAAAAUAAAACAAAAACACC